AAGUAUCUAUUGCAAUUCGUCUGUGUCAAUCGUUUAUUUUACAUUGCAGUUCCUCCACAAGUCAAUGUCACCAUCACCGUCACCAGCCCUACAGCCAUGAUGGUCUCAUGGGUGGCUCCAACUUCAGACGUUGACUACUACGUGGUCUAUUUAAAUGAAACUUACAACCCAACAGCAGUGAAGCUCUUCAAUGUGUCCACACUUAAAACAAAAGAAUUUACUGAUCUGGUUCCUGGUAGAAGUUAUGAUGCUUCUGUAACGGCUUAUAGUGGCAUCUACUACCAACCAUCCGCUAUCAUUACCAGAACGACCUUGUCAAGUUACAUCGUUUUAACCAUCACCAACAAGACUACCACGACCAUGACAGUCUCAGGAACGACUUAUCUCCCAGACUCGUUCUCCUACUGGGCCUACUUGAGAGAGACUGACAGUGGAAACUUGGUUACAACAUUCCCGAUUUACUCAAACUCGUCAACAUUUACUGGCCUGGUUCCUGGAAUGAACUACUCCGUGUCUGUGCAGGCUUCCGAUGGGUCUGUCUCAUAUUGGGCAUAUAUAAUGGACAGAACUUAUCCAGCAUCUGUCAGAGACUUUUCUUGCUUUCCGUAUUCCACGGAGAAUAUUUCCUGCAGUUGGUCUCUCCCCGACGGUGUAUGGAGCAUGCUGUACCUGGAAGUGAUCAACGGCAAUGAUCUAUUGCAGUCCGUAGGCAUCUUCAACAAUAGCCUCGAAGUCUAUACCAUGUAUUCUUUGAAUGAAAUAAUUACGGAGCCUCGGGGAAAUGGAAGAACAAAUUUAACAUUUGCCAUGCUUGGACGUCUGGAGCGGAACACUGAAUACUUGGUCAAUAUCACCACCUAUUCAGGAAAAUUGUUCAGUAAAACUCUACAAGGAAAAGCAAAGACG